AUCAAAUUAGAGCUUGAUAGGAAGCAUUUCAUUUACACUGAAAAUAUUUACUGUGCAAUUCAGUUUAAUUUGAU
rnacentral:tRNA from 1 species